CGAUGUUUGAGCGAUCCAUGGCUCAGGAUGAACGCUGGCGGCAGGCCUAACACAUGCAAUGACCUCACGCAAACGUAACAGGCAGAGAGCUUUGCUUCUGCCCCGUGCUGACGAGUGGCGACGGCAGUGACGUAAUGUCUGGGAAACUGCCUGAUGCCGCACGAGUCCAACACUGGAAACGGUAGCACUACAGUACCGCAUAACGUGCGCAAGACAAAGAGGGGACACUUCGGCGCUGCUUCGCCAUCAGCCGAUGUGCCGAGAUGGGCAUUAGCUAGUAGGCUUGGGGCUACCGGCACUCCUACCUAGGCGACGUAUCCACUCAGCUGGUCUCGAGAGGCAUGACCAGCACACACUCUGGAGACUGUAGACACGGUCCCGACUCCUACGUGGACGGCCAGCAGUGCGCGUACAUAUACUCGCACAAACUGUCGGGCGCACCAGCCUGUACGUGCAGCCACACUGCCGUCGCUGUAUGAAGCAAGCCUUAUCGGGUUGUCAAAGAUUACUUUCCGCGGGGACGAGCAAGGCGGCAGUCAAAACGUUAAUACUUAUCCGCUCAUUGACGCUUACCCGCAGAAGAUAGCACCUCGGCUAACUCCUGCUCCAGCAUGCCGCGGUAUACGGAGGGUGCAAGCGUGUAAUCGAAUGACGUUACUGGGGCGGUAACCCUCUUCCUAGCGCACGCGAGGCGGCUGUGUACGUCACGCACUCGUCCGAAACUCCCCGGGCUCACCUGGAGCACUGCAUCUGUGAUCUGGCAAGCUGAGUCUCGUAGAGGGAGGGUAGAAACUCUCACAGGUGUAGGUGACAAUGCGUAGAGAUCUGACGGAAUACCGGUGGCGAAGCGGCUGGCACGAAGACUGACGCUCAGGUGCGAAAGCGUGGGGAGCAAACAGGAUUAGCAUACCUGUAGUCCACUGCGUAAACGAUGUCGGCUUGGAGGUUCGUAUGCCCUCGCGGCGUGGCUUAUCCGGAGACUAGACGCGUAUAAGUCGACCGCCGUGCAGUACGGCCGCAAGGUUAAAACUCAAAUGAUUGACGGGCGCCCGCACAAGUCGGGGAGCAUGUGGUUUAAUUCGAUGCAACGCGAAGAACCUACCUGGUCUUGACAUCCACGGAAGUUUGUUCAGAGAUGAGAAUGUGCCUAGCGGGAACAGUGAGCGACAGUGCUGUCUGCAUGGCAUGUCGUCAGCUCGUGUUGUGAAUGUUGGUUGAAGUCCCGCAAGCGUAGCGCAUACCUUAUCCUUGCGUGCCAGCGGUGCCGGCCGGGACUCAAGGAGGACUGCCAUGUGUAAACGGAGGAAGGUGUGGAUCCGACGUCAAGUCAUCAUGGCCUUACGACCAGGUGCUACACACGUGCUACAAUGGCGCAUACAUAAAGAGAUUAGACGACCGCUCGCGUAGAAGCAUAGCGGCACCUCAUAAAGUGCGUCGUGAGUCCGCGAUUGGAGAUCUGCAACUCGACUCCAUGAAGUCGGGUGAAACUACGCUAGUAAUCGUGGUGAGCUCAGAAUGCACGUGAUUAGCGUUCCCUUGGCGUUGUACACACGCGCCCGUCACUACGCAUGGGAGUGGGUUGCACAAAAGACGUAGGUAGUCUUACUUCGUGAGGAGGUUGCGCUUACCACACUUGUGAUUCAUGACUGGGGUGAAGUCGUACAAGUACCGGUAGGAACCUGCGGUUGGAUCACCUCCUUA
rnacentral:rRNA from 1 species